GGUAACAAAAUAAAACAAAAAAAAAAUUGUUGUCAUCUUUUCAUCUUCCUUCUUCCCCACCGAAAAUACCAGCAAAGAGGGGGUUUUGAAAGCUCAAAAUUUUCAACAACUUAUAUCCCUUACAAAUCAAGAGAAACGAGAUUCAAGUCGCGAUCGAGGAAAAGAAAAGAUUGUGGACUAAAUUGCAAAAUCUUUAUAUUUUGGUACCAAGUUUUGAACAAGCUAGCUCGGGAAUCGGGACAGGUCGAAGGUUCGAUCACACUAUCCAAAGGACUUUCAUCUGGUGUAAGACCAUGUCUAGGACAUGGCAUCAGCAUUGAAACGAGAGCUAGUGUAAGACAUGUUUGGGACAUGCAUCGGCUACGAGAUGUGUCAGUGUAAGACCAUGUCUAGGACAUGGCAUCGGCAUGAAAAUGUGAAAGCUAGUGUAAGACCAUGUCUGGGACAUGGCAUCGAUUUGAUGGACAAGCCAGUGUAAGACCAUGUCUGGGACAUGGCAUCGGUAUUAUACCCUAUGUUUGGGGCUUAGUGAAUAUCCGAUAGCUUUCCGAAUGGUUCAAUGGUGAGAGUUACGGUUUAAGCUAAAUGAGAAAGGUUAUGACCAUAUUGUGAAUGACACAGGUACUUACAUGAAAUUGAUGAGAUAUGAAUUCAAUUCAUGUUAUAUGAUUAGUAAGGAAUGAAUAUGAGCAUGUUGAGUAACA